AAUAAAUAAUGUAUUAUUAAAAUACAGAAAUUCGAAAAAGCAUAGUAAUAAAUGGGCAUGUUUUGUUUAACGAAAUAUCGAAAAUCUAAUUUCGUUUUCUUUGUAGAACGCUCGCUAAGGUGAAAUCAAAUAUGUUCAAUUGGUCUUGCCAUAUUCCCACUGGCAGGAAAAUAGUAAACGAUUUUCAACUGCGGGCUGAAGCGGCUGGACAGCAGAAAUAUACAUUCUAAUUGGAAAAAAAUGACGAUGAAUUUUAAUGCUGGAAUAUGUAUCUGAUCAUAAACACAUUGAUCUGUCGAUCUUUUACCAGGGAUGAAGAAAAUUCAUAAAUGAAUGCAAAAUCUUCUCUUUAAGAAAUAGCGACAAAGGAAUGUCCAAUUUAUGUAUCCUUUUCAUAGGUGGUUUAUCCUGGUCAUUAAAACAUUUGUGUUUUUGGCCUUUUCGCACGAAUUAAGUAAGAUAUAGCACAAACGAACGUUCUUACAGUGUAUCCUUUUAUUUUUGGAUUUUAUUAAAAAUAACAUUUUUGUGUGAAUGUAACUUAGUUUUGCCAAUCAACUUUGAGGAAACAAGUAAUUAUUCGAUUCUAACAAAUUAUUAUAGAUACAUUUUUAUAAAAAAUAUAUAUAUUUCAGGGCUUUUCAUUUAUGGAGACAUCUAUAUCCAACCGGUAUACCUCUGGUAUUCAAUAUAUCAUGAUGACUAUUUUUUCACAAAAGGAGAAGAAAGACGCAUGUCACAUUGUUUCGAAUAAAAACAUUGGGACUAUUAACAACAAAUGAUCAAUGUUAAAU
rnacentral:lncRNA from 1 species